AACGAACGCUGGCGGUAUGCUUUACACAUGCAAGUCGAACGGGCAAGAGCCGUAGCAAUACGGAGUUCUGCUAGUGGCAAACGGGUGAGUAACGCGUGGGAAACUACCUUAUAGUACGGAAUAGCCCCGGGAAACUGGGAUUAAUACCGUAUACGCUCUUCGGAGGAAAGAUUUAUCGCUAUAAGAUGUGCCCGCGUUAGAUUAGCUUGUUGGUGAGGUAAUGGCUCACCAAGGCGACGAUCUAUAGCUGGUUUGAGAGGAUGAUCAGCCACACCGGAACUGAGACACGGUCCAGAGUUCUACGGGAGGCAGCAGUGGGGAAUAUUGGACAAUGGGCGAAAGCCUGAUCCAGCAAUACCGCGUGAGUGAUGAAGGCCUUAGGGUUGUAAAACUCUUUCAGUGGGGAAGAUAAUGACGGUACCCACAGAAGAAGCACCGGCUAACUCCGUGCCAGCAGCCGCCGUAA
rnacentral:rRNA from 1 species